rnacentral:rRNA from 1 species
AUGAUGAGCCUAGGCAUAAGCCUUGUCUCUAAAGGAAGCUUCGGCCUCCGCAUCGGGAGGAGCCCGCGGCCCAUUAGCUUGUUGGUGGGGUAACGGCCUACCAAGGCGACGAUGGGUAGCUGGUCUGAGAGGACGAUCAGCCACACUGGGGACUGAGACACGGCCCAGACUCCUACGGGAGGCAGCAGUGGGGAAUCUUGCGCAAUGCGCGAAAGCGUGACGCAGCAACGCCGCGUGGGGGAAGACGGCCUUCGGGUUGUAAACCCCUUUCAGGAGGGACGAAGGUUCGCCGGUGAACAGCCGUGCGGAUUGACGGUACCUCCACAAGAAGCUCCGGCUAACUACGUGCCAGCAGCCGCGGUAA